ACAACAAUAUUCUUCAGUGUGAUUUUCAUUUACAAUGAAACUCUGACAGAAAACGGCCCUUCGGCAUGAGUUGCAAUUGGCUUUAAAAUCACACAUACUUUUAUAUGGGUCUUUCCUUUGAAUAUAAUGAGAAUGGUUACAGAGGCUGCGAAAUACAAAAAUUGCGAAUGUUUGAUGUCAACACACACUCCACUGUAAACAGAAAUAUCUGAGAGGCAAGGACAAAGGCGUGCAGGCAUAAGAUGGCAUGUAGAGAGGAAUCUCAAGUAGAUUCAAGUUGCCAGUGCCAGCAUCUGAAGCCAUCUUUCAGGAUUUAUGCCAACUGUGGACCAUGGGUUGACAUUUUAUUCUUAUUGAUGAUUGCUGUACUGGAAAUCCAGUUGUUUGCUUGAGUACACAAACAAAAUUCUGGUAUGAGGUAUGCUCUGUUUGAAGUUCACCUCAGAUGUAUAUUGUACAAUGCAACUUGCUUUGUUCAAUCAGCAAGCAGAGCACCCCCACUGGUAUUCAAAAUGGUGUCAGACAUUCCUUAAUUGGUUGUUUAAAGGAAAGAUGUUCUCCUUCUAGUCUCCCUUGGUCUCUGGUAGUGCAGCUAAUUUUAUGAGAUAACUACCCCAAAGAUUGAAGUAGAAAAAGGAAGUUCAAGAGAAACGAGAGUACUUUUUAAUCUGGUUUUUUCGACCACAAAAAGCAGGAUAACAAGGAACACGAUCACCUUAAGCAUGAGACCAUAGAAAAAUAUCAAUCUUGGAAAGAAAGCAAAAUUGGAUCGAAUCCCAACUCAGAGAAUAAAGUGAAACAUUGGGAUUCGAUCUGUCCACACCCCCCCCCCCCCCUUCUAUUAGUCAGUUUAUCAAAUUUGACUGCGUUGGGAGGAAACUGAAAAAUUGUUCGCCUUCCAUCAUCCCCCACCACACCUGCCUCUCUUAGACAGUUAAUAGAAGUUAUGUACCUUUGAAAAAAAACGUAAACGUUCCCCGUCUACCGUCCCUAAUCCCACCCGCCUCUCGUAGGAGGCGGGUGGACUUACCUCUACCUUGGAAAGAAACCAUAAACGGUCCCACACCUCACCACACCACACCACACCACUUUCAGUCAGUUUACUUAAUUCUUGAUAAAGGUCAUCUAAACAUUUUUUAUUACAUUUUUACCAACAUUACAGUACAAUGAUCCAAUAUUCAUUGCUAUAGUAAUAUUGCAAUCCUUACUUUAAUUUACAGUUGUUUAUUUACAACAAUUGAACAGUUUUUUCCUUUCACCCAUCCGACCUCCCCCACCACGCCCACCUCUUGCAGAAAGUUUUCUUAGCCUUUCAAAACCUUGUCUACCUUGUGGUAUUAACGUUUAUUUCAAAAUCAUGCGUUUUGUGCUACCACAUAUCUGUCUUAAUACACAUGCGUAUUACUUUCAUAAAUAUUUAAAAGUCUUCGAAGAGAGGCGGCUGUGAUGGGGGGCGGUGGCGGUCCGAUUCAGUUGGUGUUUGUCUCUGGUCUCUUGCCUUGCUUGUUUCAAUCUAAGGAAAAUGGAAGAACAUCAAUAAAGGGCUUUAUUCUGU